UGGGGUGUCGUCAAGUGGUUAAGACACGGGUUUUUGGAGCCCGCAUUCGGAGGUUCGAAUCCUCCCACCCCAGCCA
rnacentral:tRNA from 1 species